AUAUACUUUCGGGUAAUAGAGACCGGCGAACGGGUGCGUAACGCGUAUGCAACUUACCUUNUACUGGGGGAUAGCCCGGGGAAACUCGGAUUAAUACCCCAUGGUAUUGUUUGAGGGCAUCUGAAGACAAUUAAAGAUUUAUUGGUAAAAGAUGGGCAUGCGUAAGAUUAGCUAGUUGGUGUGGUAAUGGCACACCAAGGCGACGAUCUUUAGGGGGUCUGAGAGGAUGAUCCCCCACACUGGUACUGAGAUACGGACCAGACUCCUACGGGAGGCAGCAGUAGGGAAUAUUGGUCAAUGGACGAGAGUCUGAACCAGCCAUGCCGCGUGCAGGAAGACGGCCUUCUGGGUUGUAAACUGCUUUUAUACGGGAAGAAAAGGCCCAUGCGUGGGACAUUGCCGGUACCGUACGAAUAAGCACCGGCUAACUCCGUGCCAGCAGCCGCGGUAAUACGGAGGGUGCAAGCGUUGUCCGGAUUUAUUGGGUUUAAAGGGUACGUAGGCGGCUUUUUAAGUCAGUGGUGAAAUCCCGCAGCUUAACUGUGGAACUGCCAUUGAUACUGGAAAGCUUGAGUAUUGUUAAGGUAGGCGGAAUUGAUGGUGUAGCGGUGAAAUGCAUAGAUACCAUCAGGAACACCGAUUGCGAAAGCAGCUUACUGGGCAAUAACUGACGCUAAGGUACGAAAGCGUGGGGAGCGAACAGGAUUA
rnacentral:rRNA from 1 species